GCGAGAGUGGUGGAAUGGCAGACACGCUAGACUUAGGAUCUAGUGCCUUAGGGCGUGAGGGUUCAAGUCCCUUCUCUCGCA
rnacentral:tRNA from 1 species